CAUUUCAUUUAUUUUACCGGUCUUUCCAUUUCUUUUUCUUAUGAGUCCCUGACUCUUUCCUCUGAGUCCCUGACCCUGACGUCUUUUUGUUUUCUCAGCCCUGAGGGAUUAGUUUAAACCUUGUCCUUCCAAAGAUAGUUUACUUUUACGUCCCUGUCCUAAAUCUGAGAGAGUCCUGCUCUCCCAAGUCCAAAUGGUUGUUUCUUACCCUUUUGAUGAUUUGAGUCCCUGACUCCGUCUCCCCUCCAUGGUUAGCCCCGUCACUGUCCCGCUCUUCAGUGGAUCUGGCCUCCCUGACCAAACAAAGCUUUAAGAGCCCUGUGGUGGAGGUCUUUUUAAGAGGAUUUUUUUCCCUCCGCCUUGCAAGGUCUUCAGGUCCGCCGAUGUGAAGAGAGAGACAUAUAUUGGGCCCCACGUUGGGCACCAAUCGUUUUGUUAAAAUAAUUCUGCAAUCAUUUAGAACUGGAGGAAGGAGAUGGGAGUCAGCUCAAAAUCCAAACAAGGGUUUAAUCUUGUACAAGAGGAGCAUUCACAAAGCAACACACAGGCCUGUUACAAAGUGAAGACUCACUGUCUUGGAAGAAACACAUGGUAUUUAUCUGUCUCUGAUGGUAUGUUAUCACCCUGCCAUUCUGUACUUAAAGGAAUCACUCACAUUGUAGCAAGUGAUAACAUUGAGUAUUACAUGUGUCCUAAAACAGUACAAAGGGUUACAGGUCACAAGUCACAUCAAACAGUUCCAUUGAACAUUUCUCUUCAUGAAGUACAUGAAGUACAUCAUUUCCAUCACACUAUGUCCAGAUCCAGACUUGAUUACUAGGAAAUAACUUCCUUUGACACUAAAUUACACUCUGCUUCAGAUUCAGACUCCUUUUUUUCAACAUAUCAAAGAUCUUAUCCACUCUACAGAUGAGGAGUUUGCAAAGUUCUGUGAAGCUGAUAUUAAUAUGUUUGAGCUUGUCUUUAAAUAAAAAUUUGUCCUGGCUGUGAUGGCCUUACACCUCAUUUUUUGGGACUUACUCAAAAACUUCAACAUUUUGGAUAAUCUUAGACCCAUCACGUUAUUAAACACUGAUUAUAAGAUUGUAACGCUUGUGCCUCCCAAUCUGGAUUUAUGAAAGAUGGAUCCAUUCACAACAACAUCCGUUUGGUGAUCCAUCUCCUAGAUUAUAAUUAAAAAUAGAGGACGACGGCUUCAUUUUUUUUCUUGACUUUUUUAAAGCUUUUUAUAUUCAAUUGAGCAUCACUUUAUCUUUCAGUGCUUCAAACUUUUAGGCUUUGGGAAUAAAUUUCGAGCCACUACUGAGUCUCUUUAUGAUAAUGCAAACAGCUCUAUUUGGUUACCAGGAGGUACGUCACCGAGAUCUGCUAUCAAACGUGGGGUCAAACAAAGCUGCCCUGUCUCUCCGCUUCUCUUUAUCAUUGCCACAGAAAUGCUCUCUAUUUUCAUUAAAAAUUCAGACAUUGCUCCUUUAAAUGUUAUUGGGAUACCUGUUGUUGUUAGCCAGCGUGCAGACGAUACGACUGUCUCUGUGAAACUGAGGUCCCCAAGAUAACGCCUCAAGGCUGAAACUUGAUUUGAACAAUUUCAUCAGAAGCAGUGAUUUAACAGAAGCAGAAACAGAAAACAUUCCUAUCAAAUCAGCUGUUAAAUACUUAGGGAUACAUGUAUCUAUGUGUGGAGUGUAAUAACUCAAUCAGUCACGAUCCCACUCUCCCCCACCACUAUUAUCCUUAUUGUUUGUUAUCUUCCUCCGUGCUGCUCUCUCUCCCCUCUCUGCAGGAGGCGUGGCUGACCUACUUCCACUGAUGACGCUGGUGAUCAGCAACACCUGCGGCAGCUCAUCCUCACCUGCUCCAGAUGAGCAAUCAGGAGCCUUCUUAAGCCUUUGCCAUCUCAGUCACCAGCGUCAGAUUGUUUUGCUCUUCUAGUGGUCGCCACGUCUCCUGCCUCCCCGAGAACUCCGGGUUCACCACGAAACAUCUCGGCCGUGGGAACUUCACCUGUCUCGAUCCUCCCUCGUGAGUCUGCUCCUGCCAGUAUCCCCCCACUCACUGUCUCUCACCCUGGGCUCUCGCCAUUUCCCGGCACAGCUGCAUCGGCAAUAAAAACCCUGUUAAAACCGUAA